rnacentral:lncRNA from 1 species
AUUAAAUACAAACAUAAGCUCUGUAGAGCUUUUUGCCGACAUUAAUAACAAUAACAACACACAUAUUAAGAUACAUAAAACACACAUAUGAGACAUACAAAUUAUGAUAGCUAUAUUGCUAGUAAAAAGUUCAUAAAUAAAAAGCAUAGCACAUGCAAGCAAAGCACUAAAACUGAAACAUAAGCACAUGCAAAGCAGAAUGAAAUAAAUAAAGCAAACUAAUUUCUAUAAGCUACAUGGAACAAACAUUUAACACAAAAUAAAAUAAAGGUAUUAAGAUCUGCAGGAA